UAUAAAGUUUACAAUAUAAAUACUAAAUAAAAUGAAAUUUUUCAAAAAAUUUGAUUUAGCUGAACUAGCAUUCCCUCAGUUCAUCAUUCUUAAAUAUCUCAAAAAUUGUCUAGCAAUCAUAAAAUUUACAACACAGAUCAGCACUAAUAUGGCAAUAAUGGAUAGGAUAAUUGUAUACGUUGGCUGCAUAGUUAAGCGUUCGUUUGCCAUCUGGAAGAUCCUGGUUUCUAUCUCCUAAGUUUUUUUUCAGGAAAGUCUGGAUUUGACUCGUUGAACUUCUUCCUUCAUAUGACUGAUGAUCGCAUCAGGAGUGUAAGUGGCCUGUGAUGAUUACUGCUGUUCCCUGCAUUUUAGGAAUCAACUGUUGGAAAGCGUCGAAAAUCGUGCAGAAAAAAAUUAUAACAACUGUAUAGCUGUAUUGUAUUUUAAGAGGACUAGUGAUAAAUUAACAAAAUUUUUGAUCAAUUUCAUAAUUUGCAGUGUAAGUUAUACUGUAGAAUUGCAAUAUUUAGUAUAAUACUCUGUUCAUUCAUAAAUUUUUACAAUUACAUUACAUUAUUUGCCGUUUGAAAUAUAGUGC
rnacentral:lncRNA from 1 species